UACGUAGGGUGCGAGCGUUGUCCGGAAUUACUGGGCGUAAAGGGCUCGUAGGCGGCCAACUAAGUCGGAUGUGAAAUCCCCAGGCUUAACCUGGGAACUGCAUCCGAUACUGGAUGGCUUGAAUCCGGGAGAGGGAUGCAGAAUUCCAGGUGUAGCGGUGAAAUGCGUAGAUAUCUGGAGGAAUACCGGUGGCGAAGGCGGCAUCCUGGACCGGCAUUGACGCUGAUGAGCGAAAGCUAGGGGAGCAAACGGG
rnacentral:rRNA from 1 species